GAAACUUUAUUUUAAACAAAAAAAUUUUAAAUUGUCAAUUUAAAGAUCCCCAGGAAGUUUCUA
rnacentral:tRNA from 1 species